rnacentral:lncRNA from 1 species
GAUUCACAGCAAAGAGGACAAAGAAAAGCUGCAAGCUCUAAGGGUUGAAUGCUGGAUUAAUUGGAGGAAGCCUCACACAGGCAAUCUUGAGCAACCUAUUACCAAGGAAGAGAUUCUACAGAGUCCUACAUUAAACAAAAUGGUAUAAAUGGAAACAUGUUGUAAGAUCUCUGUAAAGCACCAAGUAUACUCUAUAGAGACUGGCGUCUGAAAAAUCACCUGAGAUGUUGCUGUUGCUGGAGAAAUGUCACUGGGAAAGAUAAAGGACCAUUAUUCUAAAGAGUGUUUCAGGCUGACUGAAUCAGGUCUGAAACGUUAUUGAAAUGGGAAGAUAAACUCAACUAUUUUCAGAUUUCUACAAACUAGAAACCAUGGUAAACCCAGAAGAAAAGGCACUCCAGUUCAACCUUCUCUACAAAUGAAGGAAGGGGCAGCCAAUCUUACUUCUCCCAUAGACCAGACUGAAAGAUGGCUAAGAAUGUACUAAAGCACACUUCCACAUGUAGGCAUGGGCAUUUCUUGAAAGAACUGGCCUUGGGAGAGCAACUGAAGAGGAAAGAACCAUCCUGAAUUCAGUUAAGCUCUGGCAGAGCCUCUCAGGAGACAUUCAUAUCCGGGUCCUGUCAGCAUGCACUUCUUGGCUUCAGCAAGUGUCUGGGUUUGCUGGCUGCAUACUGGAUGGAUCCCUGAGGAGAACUGCAGGCUGGUCUCCAGUAGAGCUGAGGUCUGAACCCUGAUGGUCAUAAUUCACCUAUGUGACACUGUAGGCGUUCCCUCGUGCUCCUGGAAGUCUGGCCCCUGCCUAAGACCGAAGCCCUAGCAUGGCUGUCUUCUGAGAGGUUCCGUUUAGAAGCUGACUGAGACAGAUGCAGAUACUCACUGUCAAACAGUGGCUGGAGCUUGAAGACUCUUAUGGAAGAAUAGAAGGAAGGUUUGCAGGCCCUGAAGGAGAUAGGAAUGCCACAGGGAGACCAACAGAGUCAACUAACUUGGACCCUUAGGACUCUCAGGGUCUGAAACACAACCAAAGAACAUGCAGGGGCUGGACCUAGGCCUCCACAUGCAUAUAUAUCAGAUGUGCAGCUUGGUCUUCCUGUGGGUUCCGAACAACUGGAGCGGGAGCUCUCUCAAAAGCAGUUGCCUGUAUGUGGGAUACAUCCUUCUAGCUGAGAUAUCUAUUCUGGCCUCAGUGGAGCAGAUGUGCCCAGCCUCAUAGAGACUUGAAGUGCCAGGGUUGGGGGAUACCCAGAGGACCCCCUACCUGCUCAGAGGAGAAGGGGGAAAUGGAGGAAGAAUUGUGGGAGAGGUUGACCUCCGGGAGGUGACCAGUGAGCAGGAUGUAAAGUGAAUAAUUAAAAAAUAAAAACUACUAUAAAA